GCAAGUCGAGCGCCCUUAGCCUUUUGGCGGGGAGCGGCGAACGGGUGAGUAACACGUGGAUAACGUACCUUUGGAGGGGGAUAACUCGGGGAAACUCGGGCUAAUACCGCGUAUGGCCUACGGGUCAAAGCCUUUUAGGUGCCAAGAGAUCGGUCCGCGUCCCAUUAGUUAGUCCUAGUUGGUGGGGUAACGGCCCACCAAGGGUACGAUGGGUAGCUGGUCUGAGAGGACAAUC
rnacentral:rRNA from 1 species